rnacentral:rRNA from 1 species
CCUACGGGGGGCAGCAGUGGGGAAUAUUGCACAAUGGGCGCAAGCCUGAUGCAGCGACGCCGCGUGAGGGAUGACGGCCUUCGGGUUGUAAACCUCUUUCGAUCGGGACGAAGCCUUCGGGUGACGGUACCGGUAGAAGAAGCACCGGCUAACUACGUGCCAGCAGCCGCGGUAAUACGUAGGGUGCGAGCGUUGUCCGGAAUUAUUGGGCGUAAAGAGCUCGUAGGCGGUUUGUCGCGUCGGCCGUGGAAACUGGAGGCUUAACCUUCAGCGUGCGGUCGAUACGGGCAGACUUGAGUUCGGUAGGGGAGUCUGGAAUUCCUGGUGUAGCGGUGAAAUGCGCAGAUAUCAGGAGGAACACCGGUGGCGAAGGCGGGACUCUGGGCCGAUACUGACGCUGAGGAGCGAAAGCGUGGGGAGCGAACAGGAUUAGAUACCC